GGUUCCUGAUUUUUAUUCUAUGAGCUCAGGAUGAUGAACCUGAUCCUAAAAUCUGAGACACAUGUCUUAAAAUUGGGGCUAUCUCAGAAAAUAGAGGAGGGAAAAUAGAGAAGAGUAAGAAAAAGUGAUGGAGGAAGGAAGAGGAAAAGAAGCAAGGAUCCAAAAUGCAAAUGUGGGACAUUUUAGAAGAGCAGAACGUUGCAUUUCAGCCUUCCUGUCUGAUAUAACCCAUCUGGUGACUGCAUUCAAAAGAGCCCUACCAAGAAUAUUUUCAUGGAGUUAUUUUUCCACUGUGUAUUUCACACUUCAUCUUUGCAGGAGAAUGGAUGGAUUUACUUGGCACGUAGCAGGGGACAGUCUGUGGAAAGAAGUGAGAAGGAUAAUCCAAUAGCAAAAGUGAGGGGUGAUGAAGAGUGAAAGGUACCAACGUCCCCUUCCGCAUAUUCCUCUCCACUCUCUCAGUAUUGGAAUCUAAGUCUGAAGUUUUAGACAAGGCUCAGGGACGGCUUAAACUGUAGAUGCAGUUCCCUUCUCUAGUCCCAAAGGCUCCCAGUCAGCCCUAGGCCUUGUGUAGGGAGCUUCCAAAUGCCUACUCAAGGUUUAAUUAAUUUUCUGCAAAAAAUGAUUGGUUGACAUGACAGCAAUAAACAUCAAAUUCCAUUAAUUAAUACUGAGACAUCAGUGUCCACGCUGCUUCUCAAUUACACAUUCAGAGGCAGCCACGCUUAUGCUGGCAUCAAUUUGGUCGUGAAGCCCAGUAAGGGCUGUUAAAAUGGAAAGAGGACCAAGGGGAGGGAGGGGUAGGGGGGUGGCAUCUGUUCUUAUGCAGAGAUAAUCAGCUUGGAAGAAUUCACACUCCAAAGCCCACUCCCCAGAGAAGGGUUUAAGAGACCUAGAUGAAAGGAUUUAAAUUUGGUUGGGUGAGGCAUUUUCAUUUUGCUGAUGGCCUGGAAGGGAACUAUCAGCUUGAUGAAAACAAAGCUUCCCUCGGGUUCUAAGACAUAUUCUUCAAACUGGCUCCCCUCCCAUUGUUCUUUCUUUCUCUCUUUCUUUUUUUUUUUUUUUUUAUUAGAUGAACUCAUUUAUUUGACAUAUUAAAUUAGACAAAGAAAUGUAUAUGUAACCAGAUAAAAACAAUCACAUUCUCAUACUACUUGAACACACAGCAGUGGUCAAAAAUAAUGGAUUGUAAAAUGGACCCCAGGAUUUAAUGCAAAAACCACCCCAUACGAGGAGCUACAGUCAUCUCCAAUUUCAUGUUAAUUCCGAAGAGAGUCAAAGGGGAACAAAAAGCAAUCUUUGCUUCUUCCACUCAAGAAAAAACCCUAAAGGGACCACAGCUCCCAUCAGGCACAUGCUUUAGGGCCUGGAGACAAAGUGAAAUGUUC
rnacentral:lncRNA from 1 species